rnacentral:rRNA from 1 species
GAGUAAACAACCCUCCAACCCCAAUGUGAACGUUACCAAUCUGUUGCCUCGGCGGGAUUCUCUUGCCCCGGGCGCGUCGCAGCCCCGGAUCCCAUGGCGCCCGCCGGAGGACCAACUCCAAACUCUUUUUUCUCUCCGUCGCGGCUCCCGUCGCGGCUCUGUUUUAUUUUUGCUCUGAGCCUUUCUCGGCGACCCUAGCGGGCGUCUCGAAAAUGAAUCAAAACUUUCAACAACGGAUCUCUUGGUUCUGGCAUCGAUGAAGAACGCAGCGAAAUGCGAUAAGUAAUGUGAAUUGCAGAAUUCAGUGAAUCAUCGAAUCUUUGAACGCACAUUGCGCCCGCCAGUAUUCUGGCGGGCAUGCCUGUCCGAGCGUCAUUUCAACCCUCGAACCCCUCCGGGGGGUCGGCGUUGGGGAUCGGCCCCUCACCGGGCCGCCCCCGAAAUACAGUGGCGGUCUCGCCGCAGCCUCUCCUGCGCAGUAGUUUGCACACUCGCACCGGGAGCGCGGCGCGGCCACAGCCGUAAAACACCCCAAACUUCUGAAAUGUUGACCUCGGAUCAGGUAGGAAUACCCGCUGAACUUAAGCAUAUCAA